CCCACCCCGCCCGGCUCUCUCCCGCCUCCUCAGGAAACCGUUUCCUUUUUCUCUUUCCUUUUUUUUUUAACCCCCCCUCAGCCCCAAAGCGGAGGCAGCCAGCUAUAACAACCGCCCCCCCCACGCUCCUCCUCUCAGAGUCCAGAAGCCGGCCCCUUACGCCGAUUCCGUAGCGUAGCGACUCACCGAGAAGCGAAGAGCCCGCCCUGCGGAAGCAGCGCCGAAAGCCGUCGUGAAUACGAAGGUUUGCAAGUCACAGGGGAAAUGCAAGCCCUAAUGAAGAGCUGUGGACAGUGCCAGAGCAACCUGGAAAACAGACAGGACUUGGGGGCGGGGACCAAUGGAAGCCAAGAAAUCCAGAGGCUGUCCAGUUAAGGACAAAGAACCAAAAAGGGGGAGAACCAGGGAGGAGGAGGACUGAAGUUGCCCAUCAGCCAUGAGCACCUGGACAGCAGGAAAGUGGUACCCAGAGUUUCCCGCAGACCCUCCCACAGUACCUCAUCUCUGGAGACGGAGCUGAUUUCUGCAGCCAGAGAUUCAGAGAAGGAAGCAGAGAAGAGG